ACCAAAGUACAAACGAUCAUGCUGGACGCAGUUGUUCGUUUCAUUCCCUCUUUUUCCUGGACCGCCCUUUCGGGUUUUCAGUCCACCGGGAUACCCUUUUUUGCCCAUAUCCAGGUGUCUUAACCAAAGUACAAACGAUCAUGCUGGACGCAGUUGUUCGUUUCAUUCCCUCUUUUUCCUGGACCGCCCUUUCGGGUUUUCAGUCCACCGGGAUACCCUUUUUUGCCCAAGCCGGCCUUGUGGGGUUUUCGACUUGCCGGGUGUACAGUUUUUUGCCUUUUUAUCCCUAAUUUUUUCCCGAACCUUUUUCAUUUUUUUUUUGGUUCGCCGGGAUGCCCCUUUUUGCCUGGACUAUUUUAUUCUUUUCGUCCAGCGGGUCUCUUAUACGAAGUAUUUUUUAACUGCGUCUGCAUUCACAGGGGAUGGAAAAUCCUCGCAAUCCAUGGUCGAUCAAUAACAAGGCUCCGCCAAAGAAAACCUUCUUGACCACGAAUGGACCUUCAUAAUUG
rnacentral:lncRNA from 1 species